CAUAGGUUAAUGAGGCGAACCGGGGGAACUGAAACAUCUAAGUACCCCGAGGAAAAGAAAUCAACCGAGAUUCCCCCAGUAGCGGCGAGCGAACGGGGAGCAGCCCAGAGCCUGAAUCAGUGUGUGUGUUAGUGGAAGCGUCUGGAAAGGCGCGCGAUACAGGGUGACAGCCCCGUACACAAAAAUGCACAUGCUGUGAGCUCGAUGAGUAGGGCGGGACACGUGGUAUCCUGUCUGAAUAUGGGGGGACCAUCCUCCAAGGCUAAAUACUCCUGACUGACCGAUAGUGAACCAGUACCGUGAGGGAAAGGCGAAAAGAACCCCGGCGAGGGGAGUGAAAAAGAACCUGAAACCGUGUACGUACAAGCAGUGGGAGCACGCUUAGGCGUGUGACUGCGUACCUUUUGUAUAAUGGGUCAGCGACUUAUAUUCUGUAGCAAGGUUAACCGAAUAGGGGAGCCGAAGGGAAACCGAGUCUUAACUGGGCGUUAAGUUGCAGGGUAUAGACCCGAAACCCGGUGAUCUAGCCAUGGGCAGGUUGAAGGUUGGGUAACACUAACUGGAGGACCGAACCGACUAAUGUUGAAAAAUUAGCGGAUGACUUGUGGCUGGGGGUGAAAGGCCAAUCAAACCGGGAGAUAGCUGGUUCUCCCCGAAAGCUAUUUAGGUAGCGCCUCGUGAAUUCAUCUCCGGGGGUAG
rnacentral:rRNA from 1 species